rnacentral:rRNA from 1 species
UGGCGGCAGGCCUAACACAUGCAAGUCGAGCGGAAACGAGUUAACUGACCCUUCGGGUGACGUUAACGGCGUCGAGCGGCGGACGGGUGAGUAAUGCCUGGGAAAUUGCCCUGAUGUGGGGGAUAACCAUUGGAAACGAUGGCUAAUACCGCAUAAUGCCUUCGGGCCAAAGAGGGGGGGGGACCUUCGGGCCUCUCGCGUCAGGAUAUGCCCCAGGUGGGAUUAGCUAGUUGGUGAGGUAAUGGCUCACCAAGGCGACGAUCCCUAGCUGGUCUGAGAGGAUGAUCAGCCACACUGGAACUGAGACACGGUCCAGACUCCUACGGGAGGCAGCAGUGGGGAAUAUUGCACAAUGGGCGCAAGCCUGAUGCAGCCAUGCCGCGUGUGUGAAGAAGGCCUUCGGGUUGUAAAGCACUUUCAACAGUGAGGAAGGCGGGUACGUUAAUAGCGUGCUCGUUUGACGUUAGCUGCAGAAGAAGCACCGGCUAACUCCGUG